UACGUAGGCAGCGAGCGUUGUUCGGAAUUACUGGGCGUAAAGGGUGCGUAGGCGGUUGUUUAAGUUUGGUGUGAAAUCUCCCGGCUCAACCGGGAGGUGCGCCGAAUACUGAAUGACUAGAGUGCGGGAGAGGAGAGUGGAAUUCCUGGUGUAGCGGUGAAAUGCGUAGAUAUCAGGAGGAACACCGGUGGUGUAGACGGCUCUCUGGACCGUAACUGACGCUGAGGCACGAAAGCGUGGGUAGCAAACAGG
rnacentral:rRNA from 1 species